rnacentral:lncRNA from 1 species
GCCACUGGACUUGAAGCUUCCCUCAGGUCGCACAGACGGUCCAGGCAUACUGGGAAAGAGGAGUUACCCGUCCUCUAUUUGUGCCCACAUCAGCACCAAACGACUGCGGCUACAGUGCGCAACUUUUCCAUCGCCUCCCUCUUCCCCAGAUUCCCUGUCUUCCUCUCAAGAACGACCUGGGUCCUGCUUCACCCCUCCAGCCAUGGACCUCAGCCUGUCCCCCUCCUUGCGCCAUGCCUCUUCUCUCUCCCCAUCCCCUUCCUCGCCAUCCUCCCUCUCUCCAUCCUCUCCCAUGGAGUCCCCUCAGAACAGCAGCAGCCCUCAGCCACACCUCUUCUCUCGGGAAUCACCUUUUCACCGAGGUGUGGAACCCGGUGCUUCACCACAGGGCUAUCCAUUUUAUCUCCCAGUUAGAAGUCCACCAAGAAGCUACAGCUUUCCCUCUUCCAUGUUCAUCAGUCAGACUAGAGAGAAGCCGGUUUCUCCAGAACCCUCCGUGGAUGCUCAGUUGGCCUGC